UUCUGCAUUGUAUUAGUGACUUUUUUUUGGAAUAUUAAGUAUAUAAAAAAAAUUAAAAUAGUUCAAGAAGUUUUCGAUGUUUCCAAGUUUCUUCACUAGAAACAAUUAUUUUGUUUAUAGAGAAUUUGACAAUGCUCUAGAAAAAGCAUCAGCAACAGACAUAUCUUACAAAGCUUUUGCAGCAUAUUGCAGAUCAAAUAGAGAACCCACUCUCAUAAAGCACAUAUGGGCUUAAAUUUAGGGCAAAAUCUCUGCCCCCCUCCCCCCACUUUUUUUUUUUUUUAAAGUGGAAAGUAAAGUAUGAUGAGAUAAAAAGAUGGGAAAAUAAUAUGCUACAUCUAUAAUUAUUAUUUUUGUAGUUGGUUAAUCUACGAAUUGGUAAUUAAUAAUGCAAAUUUAGUUAAAUUUUUUUUGUAAAUACAUACUUUUCUUUAUAUAUUUUGUUUAUUUAUUAUGUAUAAAUAAAUUGAUUUACAUGUGGUGUAUUUUUUUCCUUUUUUAAUUUGAUUACUUUUUAGAUUACGUGUAGAUGACGUGUUUGUUCAAUAUAGACACGCAAUUUAAAACUAUUAAAAAUUGUUAUGUUUUUUUAAUUUGUUAAUAAAUCUGUGA